rnacentral:rRNA from 1 species
AGUGAACGCUGGCGGUAGGCCUAACACAUGCAAGUCGAACGGCAGCACAGUAAGAGCUUGCUCUUACGGGUGGCGAGUGGCGGACGGGUGAGGAAUACAUCGGAAUCUACUUUUUCGUGGGGGAUAACGUAGGGAAACUUACGCUAAUACCGCAUACGACCUACGGGUGAAAGCAGGGGAUCUUCGGACCUUGCGCGAUUGAAUGAGCCGAUGUCGGAUUAGCUAGUUGGCGGGGUAAAGGCCCACCAAGGCGACGAUCCGUAGCUGGUCUGAGAGGAUGAUCAGCCACACUGGAACGGAGACACGGUCCAGACUCCUACGGGAGGCAGCAGUGGGGAAUAUUAGACAAUGGGCGCAAGCCUGAUCCAGCCAUACCGCGUGGGUGAAGAAGGCCUUCGGGUUGUAAAGCCCUUUUGUUGGGAAAGAAAAGCAGCAGGUUAAUACCCCGCUGUUCUGACGGUACCCAAAGAAUAAGCACCGGCUAACUUCGUG